rnacentral:rRNA from 1 species
UCUACGGGUGGCAGCAGGCGCGAAACCUCUACAAUGCACGAAAGUGUGAUAGGGGAAUCCCGAGUGCUCAAGCACUGCUUGGGCUUUUGCCAUAUGUAAAUAGUAUGGCGAAUAAGUGGUGGGCAAGACUGGUGCCAGCCGCCGCGGUAACACCAGCGCCACAAGUGGCAAUCGCGUUUAUUGGGCCUAAAGCGUCCGUAGCAGGUUCUGUAAAUUUCUUGUGAAACUGCCAGGCUUAACUUGGCAAUGUGCAGGAAACACUGCAAGACUUGAGACCGGGAAGGGUCAGAGGUAUUCCUGGGGAGCGGUAAAAUGCUAUAAUCUCAGGAGGACCACCGGUGGCGAAGGCGUCUGACUAGAACGGAUCUGACUGUGAGGGACGAAAGCUAGGGGAGCAAACCGGAUUAGAUACCCUAGUANUC